ACUCACGCGGGAAUCUUACCGGGUCCGGACACACUGAGGAUUGACAGGUUCCGAGAGUUUUUGCUUCGGCAAUGCUCUCUUAAAUAUGAUAGUCCUUUCAUGAUUAUGUGAUAGGUGGUGCAUGGCCGUUCUUAGUUCGUGGAGUGAUCUGUCUGCUUAAUUGCGUUUCACUAAAGGCGUCAUAUCUGUUUUGUUGCGUGUUUGACCCCUCUUCGGAGCGCGUGUCUUCACGCACAAUUACUUUGGCGUCUGAAAGCAACGAACGUGACCGUAACCUCUUGUUGCCUUCUCUUCUCCUCGGAGAAUGCUGUUUGUUUUUGCAGGCAGUAUAUGGAGGCUUUUUUACUCAACAACUAGAGGGACCGCUGUUUCUUUCUUUAAACCAGAGGAAGGAUACGGCAAUAACAGGUCUGUGAUGCCCUUAGAUGUUCCGGGCUGCACACGUGAUACAUUGAUUACUUCAGUGAGUAUCUACGUUUUACUGCGUGGCAUUGCAAUGCAUAUUUCUUCGGAAGUGUGUUUUUGUUUGCCGCCUCAACCUGCUUCGAAAGCAUGCGGGUAACCAAUUAGAAGUAGUGAUUUCCUUUUUUAUAAGCACACUAAUAUGGGGCAUCAUCACCCGGCAUGCAUUGUUGUAUGUUUUGUGUGUGGUGUUUGCUUUUCCAUGUGUUUU
rnacentral:rRNA from 1 species